rnacentral:rRNA from 1 species
AGAGGUCUCAAGCGUUGUUCGGAUUCAUUGGGCGUAAAGGGUGCGUAGGCGGCGCGGUAAGUCGGGUGUGAAAUCUCGGAGCUUAACUCCGAAACUGCAUUCGAUACUGCCGUGCUUGAGGACUGGAGAGGAGACUGGAAUUUACGGUGUAGCGGUGAAAUGCGUAGAUAUCGUAAGGAAGACCAGUGGCGAAGGCGGGUCUCUGGACAGUUCCUGACGCUGAGGCACGAAGGUCAGGGGAGCAAACGGGAUUAGAUACCCCGGUAGUCCUGACAGUAAACGGUGCACGUUUGGUGUGGGAGGAUUCGACCCCUUCUGCGCCGGAGCUAACGCGUUAAACGUGCCGCCUGGGGAGUACGGUCGCAAGAUUA